AGACAAUAGAUAUGCCCGCUAUAG
rnacentral:siRNA from 1 species